UACAGAGGUCUCAAGCGUUGUUCGGAUUCAUUGGGCGUAAAGGGUGCGUAGGCGGCGCGGUAAGUCGGGUGUGAAAUCUCGGAGCUCAACUCCGGAACUGCCUUUAAGACUGCAUCGCUUGAACGUCGGAGAGGUAAGUGGAAUUCCGAGUGUAGAGGUGAAAUUCGUAGAUAUUCGGAAGAACACCAGUGGCGAAGGCGGCUCAGCUGGCCCGAUACUGACGCUGAGGCACGAAAGCGUGGGGAGCAAACAGGG
rnacentral:rRNA from 1 species